rnacentral:RNase_MRP_RNA from 2 species
CCAUCGUUCAAAGAAUCGCAUUCGAAGCAAACAAACAGACAUAUCCCCUCGGAAAUGUCGGCUUUCAUAAGUCGUAUCAGCUUUGGGAGAAAGUCCCCGGACAUCCUUUAAAAGGUCUGCGGAAACGCGUCGCCAUAGAAGCAAUUGCGACUAACUUCAUCUCUAUCUGAUCAAUACCUUUCAUUCCUUCUCGUCGCUAACCUCUCUCCUGCUAACUCCUUGUACAAUUCUUUCCGAAGCGGGCAGGCCCCAUGGACGAAGAUAUGAGUCCGAACUGUCCGUGAACAUUGAAUGAUGGCCUGGAUUGGGCGGAAGUCUGGGACGAAAACAAGGCAAGGACGGUACUGUGACGUAUAUAGACUUGGAGACAUUUCGUCGAGAUUCAAAGUUAUGCGAUUGCUCGUCUACUGCGAGAGUAGCUCGACGAGUAACUCGAUGGGGCUUAUUCUUGAGACGAAG